rnacentral:rRNA from 1 species
UGCCUCAGUAGCGGCGAGUGAAGCGGCAAAAGCUCAAAUUUGAAAUCUGGCGUCUUUGGCGUCCGAGUUGUAAUUUGAAGAAGGUAUCUUUGGGCCCGGCUCUUGUCUAUGUUCCUUGGAACAGGACGUCACAGAGGGUGAGAAUCCCGUGCGAUGAGAUGACCCGGGUCUGUGUAAAGUUCCUUCGACGAGUCGAGUUGUUUGGGAAUGCAGCUCUAAGUGGGUGGUAAAUUCCAUCUAAAGCUAAAUAUUGGCGAGAGACCGAUAGCGAACAAGUACAGUGAUGGAAAGAUGAAAAGAACUUUGAAAAGAGAGUGAAAAAGUACGUGAAAUUGUUGAAAGGGAAGGGCUUGAGAUCAGACUUGGUAUUUUGCAUGUUGCUCUCUCGGGGGCGGCCGCUGCGGUUUACCGGGCCAGCAUCGGUUUGGAGCGGCAGGAUAAUGGCGGAGGAAUGUGGCACGGCUUCUGCUGUGUGUUAUAGCCUCUGACGAUACUGCCAGCCUAGACCGAGGACUGCGGUUUUUACCUAGGAUGUUGGCAUAAUGAUCUUAAGUCGCCCGUCUUGAAACACGGACCAAGGAGUCUAACGUCUAUGCGAGUGUUUGGGUGUAAAACCCGUACGCGUAAUGAAAGUGAACGAAGGUGGGGGCCCAUUAGGGUGCACCAUCGACCGAUCCUGAUGUGUUCGGAUGGAUUUGAGUAAGAGCAUAGCUGUUGGGACCCGAAAGAUGGUGAACUAUGCCUGAAUAGGGUGAAGCCAGAGGAAACUCUGGUGGAGGCUCGUAGCGGUUCUGACGUGCAAAUCGAUCGUCGAAUUUGGGUAUAGG